AGAGGGAGAAUGGAAGUGAGAAUGAGAGUAGAGAUGGGAUUGAGAAGGAAGAUGAGAGGAGGGGAUGGGCAAAAACUAAAAACUGAAAUCUAUUUCAAAUUGUUUUCACUUUUGUUACUCCUCCCUCUCAUCUUCUCUCUCAAUCUCAUCCUCACUCCCAUUCUCACUCUCAUUUUUCUCUAU
rnacentral:miRNA from 1 species